GCCACCACACCCAGCCUAUUAUUUCUAAUACAGUUUUUUUUUUGUUUUUUUUUUUACUAUUCUUACUUCUACAAGUUAUUUACAAGAUGAAUCAAAAGAUAGAUGAUAGAUAAAUAGACAGAUACAGAUAGAUAAUUAAAAGCGUCCAUUGGACCUAAAUGGUAAAAGGUGAUUAUUUUUCCUGGUAUUCUGAGGGUUAAGGCCUCACAUGAUUCCUGUAACUCUACAAGUUACUUAUUAGUUGAGUAAACCUGAAAGAGAUUAAGAAUUCGGUGGCCUUUGUGAGGCACUGCCCCACCCUGCCCACCAGGCUCUGCCGCUCCAUGGCAACUCCAGCCAGCUCCUCCCUCCCCCUGCCACCAGCUGGUGAAGUCACCAGAACUGCCACCCUCGGGCAUUGUGGGGCAAUGAAGGUGGGUGGAGGGAAUGAGGCACCACAACAGUAUUUCCCUCUAGCAGCUCCUGGGACUGGGUUUUCUGGCAUUUCUAUCUCCCCCAAAUAUCUGUAACAGGCGGUGUUCAUAUCUCUAAAUCAGAGUUCUGGCUGCUGAGGUAGCAGGACUGAGACCGGGGCUGGACCCUGACUGAGACCCAGGAGCCAGCAGCCUCUAGCCACUCCAGUCACAGGCACAGCCCAGGGACCCACCGCCACGCCCUCCUGCAAGAUAAAGGAAGCAGCAACUCAGACAUCAGGACACACCCACCAAAACACAAGGAGAGGCCCUGAAAAGUAACUGGAAAGUCACAGACCGUUCUGGCAAGUGGAGUUGAUGAGAAACAGGCCCCAGAGACUCGGAUUGGAGCGAGAGAGUUCCAUGGGCUCAGCUGGGAAAUGAGGCACAAGGAGCCAGCCCCAGAACAGAGACCCCUCCAAAGCCAACAGCUCCAGAACCGCCUCUUGCCACAACAUUCAAUGCCCUGGCUUUGAUGUUUUGUGUCUCUUGCUGACUCACAAACUUGGGAGGUAACUGGCUUUCCCUAUCAAAAAUUACUAACCCUUGAGGGGCAAUUUCGCGAUAGCUGUCAACAUUUUCAAUGUUCAUAAUCUGGACACCAUUGAUUCUGCCUACUUUCAGGGGUUUUUCCUCAGAUAUGCCCAGACAUACACAGGAUUUCUGGAUCAUUGAUUAGGGAAAAAAUGAUGCCAUCUAAUUGUCUUUCAUCAAGAACCCACUAUUUGGCUGGGUGCAGUGGCUCACACCUGUAAUCCCAGCACUUUAAGAGGCUGAG
rnacentral:lncRNA from 1 species